rnacentral:rRNA from 1 species
GAUGAACGCUGGCGGCGUGCCUAAUACAUGCAAGUCGAGCGAACAGACGAGGAGCUUGCUCCUCUGACGUUAGCGGCGGACGGGUGAGUAACACGUGGAUAACCUACCUAUAAGACUGGGAUAACUUCGGGAAACCGGAGCUAAUACCGGAUAUAUAUUGAACCGCAUGGUUCAAUAGUGAAAGACGGUUUUGCUGUCACUUAUAGAUGGAUCCGCGCCGCAUUAGCUAGUUGGUAAGGUAACGGCUUACCAAGGCAACGAUGCGUAGCCGACCUGAGAGGGUGAUCGGCCACACUGGAACUGAGACACGGUCCAGACUCCUACGGGAGGCAGCAGUAGGGAAUCUUCCGCAAUGGGCGAAAGCUUGACGGAGCAACGCCGCGUGAGUGAUGAAGGUCUUCGGAUCGUAAAACUCUGUUAUUAGGGAAGAACAAAUGUGUAAGUAACUAUGCACGUCUUGACGGUACCUAAUCAGAAAGCCACGGCUAACUACGUG